GGAAAGGCCCUGCUUGCAGGGUACUCGAGUGGCGAACGGGUGAGUAACACGUGGGUGAUCUGCCCUGCACUUCGGGAUAAGCCUGGGAAACUGGGUCUAAUACCGGAUAGGAGCCAUUUUUAGUGUGAUGGUUGGAAAGUUUUUUCGGUGUAGGAUGAGCUCGCGGCCUAUCAGCUUGUUGGUGGGGUAAUGGCCUACCAAGGCGGCGACGGGUAGCCGGCCUGAGAGGGUGGACGGCCACAUUGGGACUGAGAUACGGCCCAGACUCCUACGGGAGGCAGCAGUGGGGAAUAUUGCACAAUGGGCGCAAGCCUGAUGCAGCGACGCCGCGUGGGGGAUGACGGCCUUCGGGUUGUAAACUCCUUUCGCUAGGGACGAAGCUUUUUGUGACGGUACCUAGAUAAGAAGCACCGGCUAACUACGUGCCAGCCGCCGCGGUAAUAC
rnacentral:rRNA from 1 species